rnacentral:rRNA from 1 species
CAAGGCUUGACAUCCUACGAAUCCUGAGGAAACUCAGGAGUGCCCUUCGGGGAGCGUAGAGACAGGUGGUGCAUGGUUGUCGUCAGCUCGUGUCGUGAGAUGUUGGGUUAAGUCCCGCAACGAGCGCAACCCCUGUGUUUAGUUGCUAACGAGUAAUGUCGAGCACUCUAGACAGACUGCCGGUGAUAAACCGGAGGAAGGUGGGGAUGACGUCAAAUCAUCAUGCCCCUUAUGUCUUGGGCUACACACGUGCUACAAUGGCCAGUACAGACGGAAGCGAAGCCGCGAGGUGGAGCAAAUCCGAGAAAGCUGGUCUCAGUUCGGAUUGCAGGCUGCAACUCGCCUGCAUGAAGUCGGAAUCGCUAGUAAUCGCAGGUCAGCAUACUGCGGUGAAUACGUUCC